rnacentral:rRNA from 1 species
GACGAACGCUGGCGGCGUGCUUAACACAUGCAAGUCGAACGGAAAGGCCCUGCUUUUGUGGGGUGCUCGAGUGGCGAACGGGUGAGUAACACGUGAGUAACCUGCCCUUGACUUUGGGAUAACUUCAGGAAACUGGGGCUAAUACCGGAUAGGAGCUCCUGCUGCAUGGUGGGGGUUGGAAAGUUUCGGCGGUUGGGGAUGGAUUCGCGGCUUAUCAGCUUGUUGGUGGGGUAGUGGCUUACCAAGGCUUUGACGGGUAGCCGGCCUGAGAGGGUGACCGGCCACAUUGGUACUGAGAUACGGCCCAGACUCCUACGGGAGGCAGCAGUGGGGAAUAUUGCACAAUGGGCGGAAGCCUGAUGCAGCAACGCCGUGUGCGGGAUGCCGGCCUUCGGGUUGUAAACCGCUUUCGCCUGUGACGAAGCGUGAGUGACGGUAAUGGGUAAAGAAGCACCGGCUAACUACGUG